GGACUACACGGGUUUCUAAUCCUGUUUGCUCCCCACGCUUUCGCACUACAGCGUCAGUUGCAGGCCAGCGAGCUGCCUUCGCCAUGGGUGUUCCUCCUGAUAUCUACGCAUUUCACCGCUACACCAGGAAUUCCACUCGCCUCUCCCGCACUCAAGGUUCCCAGUAUGAAAGGCACUCUUCGGGUUGAGCCCGAACCUUUCACCCCUCACUUAAGAACCCGCCUUAAUGCUCUUUACGCCCAGUAAAUUCGGACAACGCUCGCCCCCUACGUAUUACCGCGGCUGCUGGCAC
rnacentral:rRNA from 1 species